CCUCUCUGAAGAGCAGCCUACCGUGACCAAUGGCAGGCGGGGCUCUAGAUGGGCGGGACUCCCGGCGGCCAAUCCGAAGGCGGGUCGGUGAAGGCCGGAGGAGGGAGGCUGGGAGCUAGAGAGGGGAGGCCAGGGAGUUAAGGAGGUCCGGCCGCGCUGCUGCGUGCAGUGCGCGGCUGCCAUUUUGGAGUCGGGCAGCUGAGACAGCGGCCGCGUUCGGCCGGAGAGGGAGGAGCCAGUCAGGCUCUCAAGCCGCCACGAAGAUGACUCAUACACGAGGGGAGGGGUGUUGUCACUCCCUCUCUUUGCUUGCAUUUUAUGUGGAUCGCCCCGGCCAUCGAAAUGGCUGCAAGGACAGAGAAGUGGAUCGGGAGAUUGUGACAUCCGCGAGACUCCUCAGCUGGUCUUUUAGAACCGUGGUUCAUCAUUCAUAAGCUAGCCGACCACUUCUUAGACAUACUGCUUUCCGGUGCUCAGACAAAGCCUUGUUCUUCCCGUUUACUUCAUGAUUCAAAUACAGUCUGUUCCCCCUGCGAA